AGCCCCGUCGUCUAGCGGUCAAGGACGCGGAAUCUAGCGGAAGCCUCUGGAGCCUGAGACGGCGGUUCGAAUCCGCCCGGGGCUA
rnacentral:tRNA from 1 species